rnacentral:siRNA from 1 species
GAUUUGUUUUGGUGCAAUAUGUA